AUGAUGAGUCCUGCACAGUUCCUGUUUCUGCUAAUGCUCUGGAUUCAGGAAUCCAGUGGUGACGUUGUGAUGACCCAGACUCCAACGUCUUUGUCGGUUACCAUUGGACAACCAGCCUCCAUCUCUUGCAAGUCAAGUCGCAGCCUCUUAGAUAGUGAUGGAAAGACAUAUUUGAAUUGGUUAUUACAGAGGCCAGGCCAGUCUCCAAAGCUCCUAAUCUCUCUUGUGUCCAGAUUAUUCUCUGGAGUCCCUGACAGGUUCAGUGGCAGUGGGUCAGAGACAGAUUUUACACUUAAAAUCAGCAGCGUGGAGGCUGAGGAUUUGGGAGUUUAUUACUGCUGGCAAGGUACAUAUAUUCCUCGCACAGUGAUACAGACCCUAACAAAAACUUCCUUGCCUGGGGCAGCCCAGCUGGCAAUGUGCUGCUGGACUGGAGAGGAGGAGAGCAUCCUGUGUCUGUGUGAGAGGGAGGGGCUGUGGUACUUGAGUAAUUGUUUGCAGCUGAGAGCUCUGGCUAGACUCAUCUGGCUGGAUGAGUGA